UGAUGACAUGCUUGCUGGAGGCCUUCCGGGUCGCUUCUGGACUGCAGCCUUGACGGCCUCGUGCACUGUGCAUGUACGCUCACUUCACACACCCACUCUGUAUUAAGGGUGGUGUCAGGACUCUCACACAGAUGAGGAGGGUUGCAAGAUGGCAGAAAAGGCCCAAGGAGAGGAAGCUGCACUUGCUGCACCGGAAGUCUCAUUGUGUGAGAAAACAAGAACAUUUUCCAGAGUUCCCACAGCAGAGUUCCACUAGCUGGCAAGGCCAACUUAAGCUGCAAGGGGAAGCAAACAAAUUAACAAAAACCCAAAACAGGCCAGGCAGGAUUGCCACAAGUUCAAGGCCUGCCUGGACUGCAUGCACGGUGAGUUCCAAACUGACCUAAAAGUGAGAUACUGUCUC